UACGAACUGUGCGAACGUUAUUCGGAAUCACUGGGCUUACAGGGUGCUAGGCGGCUUGUUAAGUAGGUGUGAAAGCCCCGGCUCAACCGGGGAAUUGCGCCCUAAACUGGCGAGCUGGAGUGAGAUAGGGGUGUGUGGAACUUCCGGUGGAGCGGUGAAAUGUGUUGAUAUCGGAAGGAACGCCGGUGGCGAAAGCGACACACUGGAUCUUGUCUGAC
rnacentral:rRNA from 1 species